GCCGAUUUGGUCCUAGUCCCAACUUUAGCUAAUUUCAAGAUGCCACAUGCGAGCUUAAUAGCAAACCAGUGAAGUAAACUUUUUUUCUCCCCUAACUAAAAAGACAAGAAGUAAAAAAAAUCUAGUAUCAGGCACAAACAACAGCCUACGACACUAAGCAAUACGCCACAACUGCAGUGCUAAACAUUAGACAAUCGGAAAUAUCCGGAUCUAGCAAAGAAAAAAGUAAGGGGGUAAAAUACGUGCCAGCCACCGCGGUUAUACGUACUUCCUAAAGCUAAAUGACACGGUAAAAAGGGUGGUUAGAAGACCAAAAGUUGGCCGUAGCUUUCAGCUAGUGGUAAAAAACUAACCUGAAAAGAAACCUAAGCCAAAUUAACUAUUUGAACCCACGAAAACUAAGACCUAAACCAGGAUUAGAUACCCUAUUAUACUUAGAUGUAAACAACCUAAGCCACCAGAGAACUACGAACCUAAAGUUUAAAACUCAAAGGACUUGGCGGUUUUCCAAACCUCCCUGGAGGAGCUUGCCAUUGAAUCGAUAAUCCACGAAAUACCUCACCAGCUUUUGUAAUUUCAGCUUGUAUACCAUCGUCGUAAGUCUACUUCUUGAGAAAGUUGACACCAAGGAAAAAUUCCCCGACGUCAGAUCAAGGUGCAGCAUAUGAACUGGGAAUAGGUGAGCUACAAUGUUUGUAAAAACCAGUGAAAACAGAAAUGAAAAAUUCCCUAGAAAUUGGAUUCAGUAGUAAGCCUCAAAUAGAAAAUGAGGCUGAAAAGAGCUCUGGAAUGCGUACACAUCGCCCGUCACUCUCGCCUAGCUUAACUCAAGUGAGGGGAGAAAAGUCGUAACACAAUAGGCGCACCGGAAGGUGUGCCUGGAAAAU
rnacentral:ncRNA from 1 species